UUUAAAAAAAAUCCCUCCUUUUUCUCCUCCCUCUCUCUCUUUUCCUUCCUCUCUCCCCUUCCCCUCUCCUUCUCCUUUUCCUUCCUUCUCCCUCCGGCAGCCCACCGUUCCCCCGUUCCCCGUCUCCUGCGCGCCGCCAGUUGUCGCAGCCGUCCUCCCCGCUCCUUCCCGCCGCCGCCGACGUCGACCAAAGGCUAGGGGGAGGCUGCCAUUGUCGGUUCGGCCUCCUGCCGGCGUCCUUUCCGCAAACCGACGCCGGAAUCGGACUCCCCAUCCCCAAAAACCCCGGAAGCAACCCUCCUCCGUCGGAAAAUCCUUGCCGGCAGCCUUGGAAAGUGUCGCGUGAGCAGCGACUUUCCGGCCCCGAUCCGCCGCCUUCCGGCCACUUUCCGGCCAAAACUCUUGUACUUCCGGACUCCCCGCAACUUGAGCUUCGCGUAGGCGCUUCCGGAUUUGAAUUCCGACACUGUUGGCAGGACCGGCUUCCGGACCCCAGUGUUUUCUGGACGCGCGGAAUAUUUUAAUUUUUAACUCGGCGCGAUAAAUCGAAGAAAACUGCAAAAGGCCACCUGAAGCCCCCAUAAGCCAAUCGGUUGUGCAUAAGAUUAAGCUGAUUUUUGACUUUUUGAUGUAUUUUUGGCAAUUUCAUGUACUUCAACUUAGUGUUUAGGGUUUUCUUUUUGAUUUUUUAGUUUUCGGGGGAGUUGUAAUAGCUAGAUCACUUUUUGCUCUUUAUUUUUUUUUAUUUUAUCUAUGAUGGAUGCUAAAUAACUGUUA